rnacentral:lncRNA from 1 species
UUCCUCCACCCUUCCCCUCUAUGUUCAUGUUUCUUUCUUUCUUUCUUUCUUUUUUUAAUACAAACUCGUGGGUAGCUAUAAAGAACAUGACCCAUCAAUUUUUUGUAUUUAUUCUCACCAAAAUCAUCAAAAUAUUUUCUGCUUAGAGAUACAAGAGGUUCAAAAAGCCCUCGGAGGCUUUUUAAUAAGCUUUUCAAAGCCUUUCUCCCUCAAAACAGGAAGUCAGAUGAUUCCAACAGUAAACAGAUUCAAGUACUGGAGUUUACAACUUUGAGUCUCCCUGGAAUAGAGAAGAUUCUACACUUGGCAGAGUCAGCCCUCUACCCCACAGCCUUUCAGAGUCCCAUCUUUUCCUCUGGCCUAGUCCUCCCACCAAUCCCCCCACUAAUGGCCCCAAAGGAAAGCAGCUCAGGAAGGCUGGCUGCAUCCUCCAAGGCCUCGGUUCCAAGGAUGAGCUCAGAUUUGAAGGCCGGGGGAGUAAGGAUUAGGUCCCUUGAGUGCUCAGCAAGCUGGAGCAUCCCAGGGACUCAGACCCAGAACACUGCAAUCUCUGGGCUGCUAUGUUAGCUUCCAGACACCAGAGCAGCCUACAGGACCUCUUCCUGGGAAGGCAGCCAAGGAGGGUUAAAGGUGGGAAACCAAGCUGCACUUCCACUCUGAAAGAGAAGAGGAAAGCAGAUGAACAGCUGGUGUGUGCACAUUUGGACAGCUCUGACAAUGCAUCCCUUCUCAAGGUGACAGGAACAUGCAGCUGCCUAAUGGUCCCUGUUUUCCCUUCUGUGUCUUGUUGUUCUCUGUCUCUGUCUCUGUAUCUCAUUCUCUUCCUCUCUUCUUUUUGUUUUUAUUUUUCAGGUAAUGUGAAAAAGUGUAAGGAGCAUUGAAUUUGAAACUAAAAGACCAGUUCAAAUGCUGGAUCUGUUCGUUCUGGACUGUGUGACCUUGGAUGAGUUAUUGAAAACACUGCACCUCAGUUUCCUUAUGAAUAAAAUGAAAGGGUUGGACCA